AUACGGAGGGUGCAAGCGUUGUUCGGAAUUAUUGGGCGUAAAGAGCAUGUAGGCGGACUGUUAAGUCUGGUGUGAAAGCCCGGGGCUCAACCCCGGAAGUGCAUUGGAUACUGGCAGUAUUGAGUAUGGGAGAGGAAAGUGGAAUUCCGAGUGUAGGAGUGAAAUCCGUAGAUAUUCGGAGGAACACCAGUGGCGAAGGCGGCUUUCUGGACCAAUACUGACGCUGAGAUGCGAAAGCGUGGGGAGCGAACAGGAUUAGAAACCCUAGUAGUCC
rnacentral:rRNA from 1 species